UACGGGGGGGGCAAGCGUUGUUCGGAAUUACUGGGCGUAAAGGGCUCGUAGGCGGCCAACUAAGUCGGAUGUGAAAUCCCCAGGCUCAACUUGGGAACUGCAUCCGAUACUGGAUGGCUUGAAUUCGGGAGAGGGAUGCAGAAUUCCAGGUGUAGCGGUGAAAUGCGUAGAUAUCUGGAGGAACACCGGUGGCGAAGGCGGCGUCCUGGACCAACACUGACACUGAUGAGCGAAAGCCAGGGGAGCAAACGGG
rnacentral:rRNA from 1 species